rnacentral:sRNA from 1 species
UUUUUCACACGGCAACCCUUCACCGAACAGCUACUGUGUUUGAGUUCAGUGCCCUCAGUAAUGGGGAAGGUCAUGAGAGCAGGAUGCCCUACAACACACCACCAGACGUCAAACAUGGCACGUCACGAAUACCUGACCAAAGCCGUCAUCAACAAAUUGAAGGAGAGAUGAAGUUUAUGUCUGACAUUUGUGUCGUGUGUCAAAAUUGGUCAUAGAUCCUUACAUUGUCUAUGUCUCUGUCUGACGAUGUGAGUAGUAUUUCUGAUUGGCCAUACCUGUAUGUCUAGUGUAUUCUGAUUGGUCUUCUGUCCCUACAUUGUCUGUUUGUCUACCUUAUUUUGAGUCAGACAUAUGAUGAAUCUUUUUUUCAAAAAUGUGUUAUGCUAAAACAUUUUGGACUGUUCAUGAUUUCAAAUGCGCUAGAUAAAUAAUAUUGUAUUACUUAAUAAAGUGACUUGAAUUCAUUAAUUUUUUAAUGCUUAGGAGAUUGUUUUUGUAAUAUAAGGUUUUUAGCUAUAGUAUGUAUUAUUUGAAAUAAAGGAGUUUUAUUUCUGUUUCU